rnacentral:rRNA from 1 species
CCUACGGGUGGCUGCAGUGGGGAAUUUUGGACAAUGGGGGCAACCCUGAUCCAGCCAUUCCGCGUGAGUGAAGAAGGCCUUCGGGUUGUAAAGCUCUUUCGGCCGGGAAGAAAUCGCAUCUCCUAAUACGGGGUGUGGAUGACGGUACCGGAAGAAGAAGCACCGGCUAACUACGUGCCAGCAGCCGCGGUAAUACGUAGGGUGCGAGCGUGGCUCGGAAUGACUGGGCGCGGCUCACGCGCAGGGGUGUGAAAUCCCCGGGCUUAACCUGGGAACUGCGUUUGUGACUGGUUGGCUUGAGUGCGGCAGAGGGGGGUGGAAUUCCACGUGUAGCAGUGAAAUGCGUAGAGAUGUGGAGGAACACCGAUGGCGAAGGCAGCCCCCUGGGUCGACACUGACGCUCAUGCACGAAAGCGUGGGGAGCAAACAGGAUUAGAUACCCCUGUAGUC